rnacentral:rRNA from 1 species
AGUGAACGCUGGCGGUAGGCCUAACACAUGCAAGUCGAACGGCAGCACAGAGGAGCUUGCUCCUUGGGUGGCGAGUGGCGGACGGGUGAGGAAUACAUCGGAAUCUACUCUGUCGUGGGGGAUAACGUAGGGAAACUUACGCUAAUACCGCAUACGACCUACGGGUGAAAGCAGGGGACCUUCGGGCCUUGCCCGAUUGAAUGAGCCGAUGUCGGAUUAGCUGGUUGGCGGGGUAAAGGCCCACCAAGGCGACGAUCCGUAGCUGGUCUGAGAGGAUGAUCAGCCACACUGGAACUGAGACACGGUCCAGACUCCUACGGGAGGCAGCAGUGGGGAAUAUUGGACAAUGGGCGCAAGCCUGAUCCAGCCAUACCGCGUGGGUGAAGAAGGCCUUCGGGUUGUAAAGCCCUUUUGUUGGGAAAGAAAUCCAGCUGGCUAAUACCCGGUUGGGAUGACGGUACCCAAAGAAUAAGCACCGGCUAACUUCGUGCCAGCAGCCGCGGUAA